rnacentral:lncRNA from 1 species
GGAGGGCGAAGAGUUGGGCAAAGAGAUUGUGUCCUUUGAUCUUGGUCAAAUGUGGAAGUGAGAUGCUCUGGAGUUUGAGGACAAAUCUGAUAAGCUAAGCCCCUAUUUCUCUUGACUGGCGUAGGUUGAGGAGCUGCAAAAGAUGGCAUGACACUAGGAGCUUGGCCACAGUUGGAUCUACAGGAUGUUUCAGGCAAUUUUUCCCUCCCCUUCCUCCUCUGAGCAACCACAAACCUUUCUUCCUCAGAUUCCUCUUGCUCAUACACCUCCUCCUCCUCUUCUUCUUCACUCAUAACUCUAGGAGGAUUAGGAUCAUGUCUUGCCUU